rnacentral:misc_RNA from 1 species
CCAAAAUUUAGCUGCUCUGGUUUAGGCCAGUAGCACGCUUCAACCCUUUGUGAACCAAAAACCUUUACGCUUCGGCAGCUGGCCUUACAGCUGUAAGCCUGCCGACGGCACCAAUUUAAACUUGUAUUUUGAACAUUGUCUGAACUAAACAUUUUCGAAUGAAAAUUA